GCGAGACGGGUGGGCCCGUGGCCGGGCAUGACCGAUAAACUGUCCCCGGACGUCGCCGGGCGCAGCCCCCGCCCGUCCACCAAUGAUCAGCCAGCAGCCGCUGCAACCCCAGGGAG
rfam:Streptomyces griseoaurantiacus M045 Contig039, whole genome shotgun sequence.